GAUGAAGAACGCAGCGAAAUGCGAUAAGUAAUGUGAAUUGCAGAAUUCAGUGAAUCAUCGAAUCUUUGAACGCACAUUGCGCCCCCUGGUAUUCCGGGGGGCAUGCCUGUCCGAGCGUCAUUACAACCCUCAAGCUCAGCUUGGUGUUGGGCCCCGCCGCCCCGGCGGGCCCUAAAGUCAGUGGCGGUGCCGUCCGGCUCCGAGCGUAGUAAUUCUUCUCGCUCUGGAGGUCCGGUCUUGUGCUCGCCAGCAACCCCCAAUUUUUUUCAGGUUGACCUCGGAUCAGGUAGGGAUACCCGCUGAACUUAAGCAUAUCAAUAAGCGGAGGA
rnacentral:misc_RNA from 1 species